rnacentral:rRNA from 1 species
UACGUAGGGGGCGAGCGUUGUCCGGAUUCAUUGGGCGUAAAGAGCUCGUAGGCGGUUUAGCAAGUCAGCGGUGAAAGCUCGGAACUCAACUCCGAGAGGCCCGUUGAUACUGCUAUGACUUGAGUCCGGUAGAGGAGUGUGGAACUCCUGGUGUAGCGGUGAAAUGCGCAGAUAUCAGGAAGAACACCGGUGGCGAAGGCGGCACUCUGGGCCGGAACUGACGCUGAGGAGCGAAAGCUAGGGGAGCAAACAGG